rnacentral:lncRNA from 1 species
UUAUCCUUGUGGCUUAGUGAGUGAGUGCUCGUGGAAGAAAAGCCUGUAAGGAAGUGAGGGACACAGGAUAAGGAGGGGAUGAUGCCAAUAAAGGCGAUGGUUUCAGCUGCUUUAAUUGAUUGACAGGUGGUCCAGCCUCAUGUUGAUCCCAUAAGGAGCUCUGGAGUGUGGAGAGCAUGCUGGAAGCCGGGAAAUCAGACUUUUCUACUCUGAAUCAGCCAGGAGAACGAUCUGGCUGUUCUAGGGAGAGAUGGGUUACCUUGGCCUGGCGUCAGCACAGCCCUGCAGACAGGACAAGGGGCCUGCAGCUUCUUUCCGGUCAGAUGGUUCUCAUUUGCCAAUGGUGGCAUUUUAAAGCAUUGCAAAGUAGAUUCUUUGUUGGUGAUAAAGCCUUUAAAAACAUCCACAAAUUCCACGUGCUUGUGUUCCAGAUACACACUCUAGAGCAGCAAUGGGUGGAGACAGGACAUUUUGUUUCCUAACCACAAAGAACACACCAUUCCUGUUCUCAUCUCCCCAUCUCUAUCCCCAGCUUCAGCACACUGCUGGAAUUUUCCCUAAGCUAGGAGGAUUUCUAGAAGGUUGCCUCAUAAUGUCAUGGCGGGUCGAUGGAGCGUCUUCAGGAAUGGGAAGGAACUGACAGGAUAGACAGUUAUCUGCAGUUUGUGAACUUGAAAAAUUUGAAGAGCACAGACUAGAUUUUACUCAUCUCACUCAUUUUAAUAUCUGGCACAGAGUAGAUGUAAGUGAAUGUUUGCUGGAUUAAGUUUUCUGUAGCUUGAUGUAUUUAACACAGGCUGACAUUAAAUAUUCGGAUCUCAGCAUCAGAAAUAGCUUUGAUGCUAUUUGUGUCUUACAGACCCAGAAAAUUAUGAAAUGGCGUUUCCCUCUUUGCAUUGGCUGCUAG